AUUUCUGGUGUGUCUGAAGACAGUUACAGUAUACUCAUAUACAUAAAAUAAAUAAAUCUUUAAAAAAUUUCUGUUCCAAGCCAAAGGAUGCCCCAGUGGGAGAACAUAUGUUUAGCACGUGUGAGAUUUUGGGUUGCAGGUUGCAGCCAGCCCUGGCAUUACAUGCACAUACAAAGCUGGACAUGCUGACCCAUCCCUGUCAUCCCAGCUCUGUGGGAGGCUGAGGCAGGGGAAGCACAAGUUCAAAGCCACUUAGGAACUGGAAAGAUGGGUCAAGAGUUGAGAGCUCUAACAGUAGCUACUGCCCUUGCAGAGGCCCUGACUUUGGUUCCCAGCACCCAGAUCAGGUGGCUCACCGUCACAUUUUCAUCCCUAGGGAAUUUGAUGCUUUCUUCUGACCUCCAGGAGCACCUGCACUCCUGUACACAUAGACACAUAUAUACACAAUUACAAAUAAGAUAAAUCCAACCUGUGUGGUGGCCCACACCUUUAAUCCUAGCAGAAUUUGAGAAGCAGAAGCAGGGGGGAUUUCUAUAAGUUUAAGGCUUACAACUUAGUGAGUUUUGAGCUACAUAGUGAAACCCCGACUCAAAUGUUAAUUUUAAAAGCUUCAGAAUUAAAAGGGGGCAUGACUCAGUGGUAGAGCCCCUGCCUAGAAUCCCCCAGUGAGGGGCUGGGGGCGUGGCUCAGUGGUAGAGCCCCUGCCUGGAAUCCCCCAGUGAGGGGCUGGGAUGUGGCUCAGUGGUAGAGCCCCUGCCUAGAAUCCCCAGUGAGAGGCUGGGGGCGUGGCUCAGUGGUAGAGCACUUGCCUGGCAUGCUCAAAGCUCUGAAUUCUAUCCCAAAAACAAAACAAAAACCCCAGUCCAUUUUAAGUUCAGUUACAUAUGAAAUAGUUAAUAUUAAUAAGCAAAAUUAUAGACCAUUGUCAGAUCUCAGCUGGUUUUGUUUUAUUUUCCACAGUUUGUGAAACAUAAACGAACUGAUGCAUGCAAGAAGGAACAUAUUGUAGCAAAAGGAUAUAGUUGUCAAAGAAUGGACAUUUAUGGGCAAAGCUUAGAGACCACGCACUAGUGUAUACUUAGAAUUAGAGGGUAUGGUAACUUCAAUUUAUUUUCAAAAUUAAAAAAAUGCACGUUUAUAGAUACAGAAAAGGGUGAGCUCAGACUCAAAUGUUGACACUGGAGGAAUGUAGGUAAUGCAGAAUGAAAGUUAAAAUUGAAGAGUUGAUGGACCGAUAAGUGAUGACGUCACAGAAGCAAGAACACAAUUGGCGGCUGGGUCUUAGGGGCCGUGGAAUUCUAGAUGUUCCACUUUGGAAAAAAAAUAUUCAGAACACACUUAUUUGCUUGUCUCUCUGUGUGUGUGUGUGUGUGCACGCGCGUGCCACAUAUACACGCCCACACGCCUGACAGUGUAUGCCACACAAAAUAAAUAAAAUGU
rnacentral:lncRNA from 1 species